rnacentral:ncRNA from 1 species
AUAAAAGUUUUAUUCUAGCUUAAGAUUUUAAUUUUUAGACUAGUUACAUGUAAGUUAGAGCGAUUAUGUAAUAUUUUUUAAAUAAGAAUAUUAAUUAUUUUGUAUUAAUAAAGCCGCAGUAUAGAAUAUUAAAUAUUUAUGAAAAUAAGAUUUAGGGAUUUAAAAUAGUAUUGACAAAAUUUGUGCCAGCAGUUGUGGUUACACAGAUAAUGCAAUUAAAUUUGUUUAGUAAGUAGUUAUUAGUAUAUAAUAUAUUAGUAUAUUAUUAAAUUUAUUAGGUGAAAUUUUAAAUUUGAUAUAAAUUAUAAAUUUAUAAUAUGAGACUAUGAGAUUUUUGUAAUAAACUAGGAUUAGAUACCCUAUUAUUAAAAAUAUAAAACUAUUAUACUAGAGUAGUAGUAGUUAUUUUCUUGAAAUUUAAAGAAUUUGGCGGUAUUUUAGUCUAUUCAGAGGAACCUGUCCUAUAAUUGAUAGUCCACGAUUUAUUGAACUUAUUUUAAAGGUUUGUAUACCGUCGUAGAUUGAAUGUUCUUUAAGGAAAAAAAUGUUCAAGAUUUAUAUUAUUAUAAAGGAAAUCAGAUCAAGGUACAGCGUAUAAAUAAGAAGAGAUGGGUUACAAUAAAUUUAUUUAAAUGGUUAUAGUAAUUAAAAUUAUUAUAUAAAGUGGAUUUGAAGGUAAUAUAAUUAAAUUAAAUUAUAUGAUUUUAGCUCUAAAAUAUGCACAUAUCGCCCGUCGCCCCCAUCAUAAGGUGGGGUAAGUCGUAACAAAGUAGGUGUACUGGAAAGUGUACCUGGUAAGG